AGGGCAACCCAUCACUGAUGCAGACUGAACUGAAAAUUAGCCACCGUAACGUUCCCACAGACAUUAUGUGAUGGAAUCCAAUACAUUUAGGGAAUUGAUGGAGCCAAGCUACAAGAUCCUAUAGCAGAAAACUGAAAGGCAAUCUACUCCACCCUCCCAGAGUGCAAUGAUGAGCAAAAUAUGCCGUUCCUUUGUGUAUCGGGUUCACCCGUGGUGAUAAAAUCAAAGAGCGCUGAAAUAAAGACCAAAUCCUGCUGGGAAUCAGCAGGAGUUGCACCCAUGAUCUUA